UAGACUUUUCGGGUCAGUUAACAAGAGUCAGAAAACCCAUGACUUUGUUUUGGUUUUUUUGUUCUCUGGGAAGGAGGGCUGCCACAUUGAGCCAUCCUUAGAAAGUAGCUCAGAUCUGUCCUGCCUUGAUGUGGUGUAAGUGAUACAGGGCUUUGGCACCAAGCGUGCAGCCAGUGCUGAAAUCGGUUUGGAGUGUCGAGAGGAACUGAAAGGAUUGAUGCCCUUUUCUUGAUACAGGUAAUGGGAGUAUCCACACCCCAAGGGGUGCUGAAGGAUGGGUAUCCCUGGGAAGAGCAUCCCUUUUUGGAGUUUGUGAAGCAUUUUCAGAAUCUUGUGGACUGCUUCAACAGGUAGAAUUUUAACUAACUAUCUACGGAGAAGUGGUUCUGACGGAGAAGGACCUGCAUACAGAGCAAUGAUCCACGACAUGGCUGUGGGCCAACCAAGAGUUACCUACCAUGCCCAACCAGUUAGCAGACUGAGUCCAUUAUGUGAUGGGCAUGGCUCGAAGCCAGAUGGUUUGGUCUUAGCCAUUAAGCAGGGAGAGAUCUCAGUUCAUAGUAGUCAGAAGAAAAAAAAAUUAACAUAUUAAAAUAACAGAACACUUAAUGGACUGCCAACAGGACAAAAAUAUCACCUCAAAAACUAACUAGACUAGCUACCUUAAUUAUCAGUUUAGAAGAAAAGGCACUAUGAGGCAGAGUGCAGCAGACACCACAGAGAUAAGACUUGCUGCCAGGGAUGGGAAGUGGGAACAGAGGUGAUCAAAGCCAAUCUGAUCUAUAUAUGCCUUUGGACAUGGGGUCACCAUGACAUGCAGGACAGACACAACGCCAAUGCAUCCUGCUGUUCGGAAGAUUUUGAUUUUGAUUACAUGAAGCACACGCAUACCAUAAGAGGGGUCCACAUGGACAAAAGCUGGAAGAAAAACUUUAAAAUGUUUACAUUACAAAACUUGUUCUGACAAGUUUUUCACAGCAUUGCAUCCUCAAGUAGCAAAGCACAAAUACUUAACAAAGCAGCAAAGUGGGCAACUGUCAGGUUUCUUUUUACUCUUGACAGGGAGCCCUGAACACUAUCUGCCUGUGUUAAACAGAGCAAGAUUAAUAUUUUAUGCUUCAUUCGAAAGUUACACAAAAAAAUCAUGAUCUUGUCCGCUGGAAUCAGGACACCCUAAAAACAAAAAUUAGUCCUGCCUCCCAACUUUUGGCACCUUUGUUUUGUAGCCAGAUUUUCAGUAUCCAGUGCAACAAGCUUAAAGGAAUAUCAUCAGUAAUGGAGAAACCAACCAUUCAUCAACAAACUAAACCAUUAGGUUCUACUAUCCAUAUGGAUAUCUACAUACAAGGGUUAUAAGCCCUCUCACUUCUGGACACAAGCCAAUUGGGUUAGGAAGAAACUCCCCAUAUGUGCAGGUUUUUCCAUGAUUGUCCAUUAUGGGGCUCCUCGUGCCUUCUUCUGAAAGAUGUGGUACUGACUACUGUCAGGAAAAGGGUAAUGGACUACACGGACAACUGUUUCAAUCAGUUUUUACAACAUAGCAAUUCAUCAUGAAAAGGGUUCCAAUUAAUCAAGGAGACUUCCUUGUCUUACCUCUCUAAAGAAAACAUCUGCAGGG